rnacentral:tRNA from 1 species
GCCCCUGUGGCGAAAUUCGGAAUACGCGGGAGACUUAAAAUCUUCUAGCCUUUAUGGCUUUAUCGGUUCAAGUCCGGUCAGGGGUA